AUUGAACGCUGGCGGCAGGCCUAACACAUGCAAGUCGAGCGGUUGAAGGGAGCUUGCUCCUGGCUUCAGCGGCGGACGGGUGAGUAAUGCCUAGGAAUCUGCCUGGUAGUGGGGGAUAACGUCCGGAAACGGGCGAUAAUACCGCAUACGCUCUGAGGGCGUAAGAGGGGGUGCUUCGGACCACACGAUUUCAGAUGAGCCUAGGUCGGAUUAGCUGGUUGGUGGGGUAAAGGCCUACCAAGGCGACGAUCCGUAACUGGUCUGAGAGGAUGAUCAGUCACACUGGAACUGAGACACGGUCCAGACUCCUACGGGAGGCAGCAGUAGGGAAUAUUGGACAAUGGGCGAAAGCCUGACCCAGCCAUGCCGCGUGUGUGAAGAAGGUCUUCGGAUUGUAAAGCACUUUAAGUUGGGAAGAAGAGCAGUAAGUUAAUACCUUGCUGUUUUGACGUUACCAACAGAAUAAGCACCGGCUAACUUCGUG
rnacentral:rRNA from 1 species